rnacentral:rRNA from 2 species
CGAAAGCCUGACGGAGCAAUACCGCGUGAGGGAGGAAGGCUCUUGGGUCGUAAACCUCUUUUCUCAGGGAAGAACACAAUGACGGUACCUGAGGAAUAAGCAUCGGCUAACUCCGUGCCAGCAGCCGCGGUAAUACGGAGGAUGCAAGCGUUAUCCGGAAUGAUUGGGCGUAAAGCGUCCGCAGGUGGCUGUGUAAGUCUGCUGUUAAAGAGUCUAGCUCAACUAGAUAAGAGCAGUGGAAACUACAUAGCUAGAGUACGUUCGGGGCAGAGGGAAUUCCUGGUGUAGCGGUGAAAUGCGUAGAGAUCAGGAAGAACACCAGUGGCGAAGGCGCUCUGCUAGGCCGUAACUGACACUGAGGGACGAAAGCUAGGGGAGCG